GACAGAGGUGCCGAGCGUUAGGCGGAAUCACUGGGCUUAAAGCGUGUGUAGGCGGGCCGUUAAGUGUCUUGUGAAAUCCCCCGGCUCAACCGGGGAAUUGCUGGGCAUACUGGCGGUCUUGAGCAAUCUAGGGGCAGAUGGAACAAGUGGUGGAGCGGUGAAAUGCGUAGAUAUCACUUGGAACGCCAAAGGUGAAGACAGUCUGCUGGGGGCGCACCGACGCUGAGACACGAAAGCCAGGGGAGCGAACGGG
rnacentral:rRNA from 1 species